rnacentral:ncRNA from 1 species
UGACGGACCCGCGGUGAUUUGACAGGGCAGCUUGCAGCCGCGUGACCAAUUGCUAAAGCGCCACGGGGAUCGCUCC